GACUCUCGGCAAUGGAUAUCUCGGCUCUCGCAUCAAUGAAGAACGUAGCGAAAUGCGACACUUGGUGUGAAUUGCAUAAUCCCGUGACCUAUCGAGUCUUUGAACAAAAUUUGCACCCAAAGCCAUUAGGUUGAGGGCACGUCUGCCUGGGCGUCU